GGACUACUGGGGUAUCUAAUCCUGUUUGCUCCCCUUGCUUUCGCGCUUUAGCGUCAGGUAUAAACUAGAAAACCGCCUUCGCCACUGGUGUUCUUCCACAUAUCUACGCAUUUCACCGCUACUUGUGGAAUUCCGUUUUCUCCGUCUACCCUCUAGAGAUGUAGUUUCAAAUGCUGUUCCGAGGUUGAGCCCCGGGAUUUCACAUCUGACUUACAUCCCCGCCUACGCGCCCUUUACGCCCAAUAAAUCCGAUUAAUGCUUGCACCCUACGUAUUACCGCGGCUGCUGGCAC
rnacentral:rRNA from 1 species